ACAUAGCAUCAAGAGUAGGACUUGUUCCUCACCAACCUGCAACUCCAAAGCAAGGUGGUCAAUAGAUGCGGCAAUCGCAAACAAUUGGAGAACA
rnacentral:ncRNA from 10 species